UACGAAGGGGGCUAGUGUUGCUCGGAAUUACUGGGCGUAAAGGGCGCGUAGGCGGACAGUUUAGUCAGAGGUGAAAGCCCAGGGCUCAACCUUGGAAUUGCCUUUGAUACUGGCUGUCUUGAGUUCGGGAGAGGUGAGUGGAAUGCCGAGUGUAGAGGUGAAAUUCGUAGAUAUUCGGCGGAACACCAGUGGCGAAGGCGACUCACUGGCCCGAUACUGACGCUGAGGCGCGAAAGCGUGGGGAGCAAACAGG
rnacentral:rRNA from 1 species